rnacentral:rRNA from 1 species
UACGAAGGGGGCUAGCGUUGCUCGGAAUGACUGGGCGUAAAGGGUGCGUAGGCGGCGCGGUAAGUCGGGUGUGAAAUCUCGGAGCUUAACUCCGAAACUGCAUUCGAUACUGCCGUGCUUGAGGACUGGAGAGGAGACUGGAAUUUACGGUGUAGCGGUGAAAUGCGUAGAUAUCGUAAGGAACACCGGUGGCGAAGGCGGUUCUCUGGGGCCUGUACUGACGCUGAGGAACGAAAAGCGUGGGGGAGCGAAACAGG